GCCGAAGUUGCCAAUGUGGUCAAGGCGUCCGCCUGAAGAGCGGAUUAUCGGUGUUCGAUUCACCGCUUCGGCA
rnacentral:tRNA from 1 species